AGCUUGCCGUACGGUCGCGUGCCUUUUUCGGGGCAUGAGGAAAGUCCGAGCACCGCAGAGCAGGACGCCGGAUAACGUCCGGUGGAGGCGACUCCAAGGAAAGUGCAACAGAAACAGACCGCAGGUUCAUCCUGCAAGGAUGGAAAGGGGAGGUAAGAGCUCACCGGCGCGGCGGAGACGCCGCGCGCCGUGUAAACCCCGUCCGGUGCAAGAUUGGGCUGCCGCCGCACGGGCUGCUCGCCCGGCGGCAGCCGUGAACAUCGCUUGAGUUCGCCGGCAACGGCGUUCCCAGAUAGAUGACCGUACACGACAGAACUCGGCUUACAGGCA
rnacentral:RNase_P_RNA from 1 species